rfam:Cryptococcus dejecticola CBS 10117 unplaced genomic scaffold supercont1.10, whole genome shotgun sequence.
AUCUACGACCAUAGAAUCCAGAAAACACCCCAUCCCGUCUGCUCUGGGCAGUUAAGCUGGCUAUCGCUCGAUUAGUACCAAGAUUGGGGACAACUUGGGAAUCCCGAGUGUUGUAGUUU